AGUCGGCCGAACGACCGCGGGCAUAAGGCGAAAGCCUGUGCGUGAGGAAAGUCCGGGCUCCAUAGGGCAAGGAUAACGGGUAACGCCCGCCAGGGGUGACCCUCGGACAAGUGCAACAGAGAGAUACCGCCCCGGCUUGCCGGGGUAAGGGUGGAAAGGCGAGGUAAGAGCUCACCCGCCGCGUGGAGACACGUUGGCGCUGUAAACUCUAUCCGGAGCAACACCGUGGGAGGGACAUAUGGCCGGCCCGGCCGUCCCCGGGAGGUGGCUUGAGCCAGGGAGCAAUUCCUGGCCACAGAUAGAUGGUCGUUCUCGACAGAACCCGGCUUACAGGCCGACUCAU
rnacentral:RNase_P_RNA from 1 species